GACGAACGCUGGCGGCGUGCUUAACACAUGCAAGUCGAACGGAAAGGCCCUGCUUUUGUGGGGUGCUCGAGUGGCGAACGGGUGAGUAACACGUGAGUAACCUGCCCUUGACUUUGGGAUAACUUCAGGAAACUGGGGCUAAUACCGGAUAGGAGCUCCUGCUGCAUGGUGGGGGUUGGAAAGUUUCGGCGGUUGGGGAUAGACUCGCGGCUUAUCAGCUUGUUGGUGGGGUAGUGGCUUACCAAGGCUUUGACGGGUAGCCGGCCUGAGAGGGUGACCGGCCACAUUGGGACUGAGAUACGGCCCAGACUCCUACGGGAGGCAGCAGUGGGGAAUAUUGCACAAUGGGCGGAAGCCUGAUGCAGCAACGCCGCGUGCGGGAUGACGGCCUUCGGGCUGUAAACCGCUUUCGCCUGUGACGAAGCGUGAGUGACGGUAAUGGGUAAAGAAGCACCGGCUAACUACGUG
rnacentral:rRNA from 1 species